rnacentral:rRNA from 1 species
GACGAACGCUGGCGGCGUGCUUAACACAUGCAAGUCGAACGGAAAGGCCCUGCUUUUGUGGGGUGCUCGAGUGGCGAACGGGUGAGUAACACGUGAGUAACCUGCCCUUGACUUUGGGAUAACUUCAGGAAACUGGGGCUAAUACCGGAUAGGAGCUCCUGCUGCUUGGUGGGGGUUGGAAAGUUUCGGUGGUUGGUGAUGGACUCGCGGCUUAUCAGCUUGUUGGUGGGGUAGUGGCUUACCAAGGCUUGGACGGGUAGCCGGCCUGAGAGGGUGACCGGCCACAUUGGGACUGGGAUACGGCCCAGACUCCAACGGGAGGCAGCAGUGGGGAAUAUUGUACAAGGGGCGGAAGCCUGAUGCAGCAACGCCGCGUGCGGGAUGACGUCCUUCGGGUUGUAAUCCGCUUUCGCCUGUGACGAAGCGUGAGUGACGGUAAUGGGUAAAGAAGCACCGGCUAACUACGUG